CCUACGGGAGGCAGCAGUGGGGAAUAUUGGACAAUGGGGGCAACCCUGAUCCAGCCAUGCCGCGUGUGUGAAGAAGGCCCUCGGGUUGUAAAGCACUUUCAGUGAGGAAGAACGCCUUGUGGUUAAUACCCAUCAGGAAAGACAUCACUCACAGAAGAAGCACCGGCUAACUCCGUGCCAGCAGCCGCGGUAAUACGGAGGGUGCGAGCGUUAAUCGGAAUUACUGGGCGUAAAGCGCGCGUAGGUGGCUUGAUAAGCCGGUUGUGAAAGCCCCGGGCUCAACCUGGGAACGGCAUCCGGAACUGGCAAGCUAGAGUGCAGUAGAGGAAGGUAGAAUUCCCGGUGUAGCGGUGAAAUGCGUAGAGAUCGGGAGGAAUACCAGUGGCGAAGGCGGCCUUCUGGACUGACACUGACACUGAGGUGCGAAAGCGUGGGUAGCAAACAGGAUUAGAUACCCGAGUAGUC
rnacentral:rRNA from 1 species